rnacentral:rRNA from 1 species
GGGGGUAAUUCCUUGGCCGGAAGGCCCCGGUAAUUCUUGUUAACUCCGUCGUGCUGGGAUAGAGCAUUGCAAUUAUUGCUCUUCAACGAAGGAUCCUAGUAAGCGCAAGUCAUCAGCUUGCGUUGAUUACGUCCCUGCCCUUUGUACACACCGCCCGUCGCUACUACCGAUUGAAUGGCUCAGUGAGGCGUCCGGACUGGCCCAGGGAGGUGGGCAACUACCACCCAGGGCCGGAAAGCUCUCCAAACUCGGUCAUUUAGAGGAAGUAAAAGUCGUAACAAGGUCUCCGUUGGUGAACCAGCGGAGGGAUCAUUACCGAGUUAUCCAACUCCCAACCCCUCGUGAAUUAUACCUUUAAUUGUUGCUUCGGCGGGACUUCGCGCCCGCCGGGGACCCAAACCUUCUGAAUUUUUUAAUAAGUAUCUUCUGAGUGGUUAAAAAAAUGAAUCAAAACUUUCAACAACGGAUCUCUUGGUUCUGGCAUCGAUGAAGAACGCAGCGAAAUGCGAUAAGUAAUGUGAAUUGCAGAAUUCAGUGAAUCAUCGAAUCUUUGAACGCACAUUGCGCCCGUCAGUAUUCUGGCGGGCAUGCCUGUUCGAGCGUCAUUACGCCCCUCAAGUCCCCUGUGGACUUGGUGUUGGGGAUCGGCGAGGCUGGUUUUCCAGCGCAGCCGUCCCUCAAAUCAAUUGGCGGUCUCGCCGUGGCCCUCCUCUGCGCAGUAGUAAAACACUCGCAACAGGAGCCCGGCGCGGUCCACUGCCGUAAAACCCCCCAACUUUUUAUAGUUGACCUCGAAUCAGGUAGGACUACCCGCUGAACUUAAGCAUAUCAAUAAGCGGAGGAAAAGAAACCAACAGGGAUUGCCCCAGUAACGGCGAGUGAAGCGGCAACAGCUCAAAUUUUGAAAUCUGGUCCCCAGGGCCCGAGUUGUAAUUUGCARAGGAUGCUUUUGGUGAGGUGCCUUCCGAGUUCCCUGGAACGGGAACGCCAUUAAAAGGGGGAGAAGCCCCCGUCUGGGUUUGGAUUACCGAAGCCUCUKUGUAAAGCUCCCUUUCGAACAAGUUCGAAGUUAGUUUGGGGAAAUUGCNUGCUCCUUAAAUGGGAGUAUUAUUGUCUUUCCUAAAAGCCUUAAAAUAUUGGCC